ACGCCUAACACAUGCAAGUCGAACGCAGUAGCAAUACUGAGUGGCAAACGGGUGAGUAUAAUGUGGGAAUCUGCCUUUUGGUUUGGAAUAACACGGGGAAACUUGUGCUAAUACCGAAUAAGCCCUUACGGGGAAAGUUUUAACGCCGAAAGAUGAGCCCGCACUUGAUUAGCUAGUUGGUAAGGUAAAAGCUUACCAAGGCAACGAUCAAUAGCUGUUCUUAGAGGAAGACCAGCCACAUUGGGACUGAGACACGGCCCAGACUCCUACGGGAGGCAGCAGUGGGGAAUCUUGCACAAUGGGGGAAACCCUGAUGCAGCGAUGCCGCGUGAGUGAAGAAGGCCCUUGGGUUGUAAAACUCUUUCGUCGGGGAAGAAAAUGACUGUACCCGAAUAAG
rnacentral:rRNA from 1 species